rnacentral:rRNA from 1 species
UAGGGAAUCUUCCGCAAUGGACGCAAGUCUGACGGAGCAACGCCGCGUGAGUGAAGAAGGAUUUCGGUUCGUAAAACUCUGUUGUUAGAGAAGAACAGCGCAUAGAGUAACUGUUAUGCGUGUGACGGUAUCUAACCAGAAAGCCACGGCUAACUACGUGCCAGCAGCCGCGGUAAUACGUAGGUGGCAAGCGUUGUCCGGAUUUAUUGGGCGUAAAGCGAGCGCAGGCGGUCAAUUAAGUCUGAUGUGAAAGCCCCCGGCUCAACCGGGGAGGGUCAUUGGAAACUGGUUGACUUGAUUGCAGAAGAGGAGAGUGGAAUUCCAUGUGUAGCGGUGAAAUGCGUAGAUAUAUGGAGGAACACCGGUGGCGAAAGCGGCUCUCUGGUCUGUAACUGACGCUGAUGUGCGAAAGCGUGGGGAUCAAACAGG